CAUUAAAGCAAGAACCUGCUUUUAUCAGGCUGAAGUGGUUCUUAUAUACUAGGUGCUUUAUUGGUCCAAUUUUAGCCUGGAGGUUUUUAAUCCGCAGUUUCUUUUAUGCGGGUGUUUACUGUAUUGUAAAGAACGCGAA